AAUGGGCGCAAGCCUGAUGCAGCCAUGCCGCGUGUAUGAAGAAGGCCUUCGGGUUGUAAAGUACUUUCAGCAGUGAGGAAGGUGGUGUCGUUAAUAGCGGCAUCAUUUGACGUUAGCUGCAGAAGAAGCACCGGCUAACUCCGUGCCAGCAGCCGCGGUAAUACGGAGGGUGCGAGCGUUAAUCGGAAUUACUGGGCGUAAAGCGCAUGCAGGUGGUUCGUUAAGUCAGAUGUGAAAGCCCGGGGCUCAACCUCGGAAUUGCAUUUGAAACUGGCGGACUAGAGUACUGUAGAGGGGGGUAGAAUUUCAGGUGUAGCGGUGAAAUGCGUAGAGAUCUGAAGGAAUACCGGUGGCGAAGGCGGCCCCCUGGACAGACACUG
rnacentral:rRNA from 1 species